rnacentral:lncRNA from 1 species
GUGAAGGCCAGACUGUCUACAACAGCUUUAGAUACUCAGUCUGGGGUGGGAAGGAACGGACGAGUGGUCCAGGGCUAUCCGCCAAUCAUCGAGGCACAGGAGGAACACGAGGACGAUGAGGAGGAGGAGGAGGAGGAAGACGAGGCCAUGUCUGUAUCUAUGUCAUCAGAGCGGAAACCGGCGGUGGACCUCAGGGACACAGGUGGGAAGUCUCCACUGAGCCGCCCCAGCCAGAAGACCACGAGACGGAGCUCCAGGAGGUCUCGGAGGAAGAUCCAGGAAAUUAAUCCCACCACUUUAGACCCGUCCAACCUCAGCCCCAGGAUAGUGGACGGUACUGAAGACAGCGAGGGGACGGAGAGUUCCCCGGCCUUCUCCUACUCUACCAGCCAAGGUUGUUCUGUCAACAAACCAAUCAGUGCCUCAGCGUCUGCCACAGGUCCUCCCAUCAUGCACCACACACCAAUGUACAUCUAAAAUAUGACCAAAUACCACUUACAGUCCCUUAAACAUGCCACAUCCUUUGGAAGUGAAGAAUAUUCACAUCUAAAUUCCUGCAACACUGUUGGAUAAGGAGGGUGAUUAAUGUGUAUUUUCACUUCCUGCUCAGUAUUUAUCAGCUGCCUUGUCGCCAUAACUGCAUGAUGACAAUCUGUAGUUCUGAAUCAGCAACUGAUUUAUGCCCAUUUGUGUCACAGAUAUGCUGCAGAUCAGCACAGCAGAGCUAGCGGCUAAAGCAGAGGAGACCAGAGGACAGCUGAGACACCUCGACCAGCAGGUGAGCACCCUUGGGAGGGAAGUGGCCGACCUUGGACGAGUCAUGAAGAGAAUGGCCCAGCUCAUGGAGGCCUUCAUGCCAUCAGUGCCACACCCAACAAUACUCUGUCCCACGCACUACUCCCCAGCACACCACACGUACCUGCCCCACCCCAACCCUCCUCAGUCUUACCCGUCACCAUCCUCCUCUCAGACUGCCUCCAUCUGGAUGGACACGGCAACGUCAUUACCCUCAUCUCCCGCCAUAAUCCCUCAGCAACAUGGUGCGAUGUGCCACAAGGACUUCCUCACGCAUAGACCCCAGGAUCUCCAGCUGGGGUACCCCACUAUACCCAACCCAACUUUACCUCCAACUCCCAACUCAACUGACCUCCAACUACAGCCCAUCAUCGCAGAGCCUCACCUGCCCUCCUCACCCCUGAGCUCACCAGAGAUUUCCCACUACAGCGACGGGGUUUCUGGCUCCAUCAGGUCAAGGGGACAGAGUCCUCCCCUUCAAGACAGGGGAGAUGAGGACCCUCAUCAGAGCUCUGGGUGUUCUCCAAAAACUGGACUUGGAGGGACCUACCACAACCCCACCAAGGGUUUGUAGCAGCCCUCCAUCUGAACUUCCCUGGACUUUUUCCGGGAUAUUUUUUGAGCUAUGUUCCUGAACUGAAGAUCAAACUGAUCAGCUGCGGUCCACCAUGUCACUGGAGGACGUUUGCAGGGAUGCAACUCAGAUCCUUUUUGUUUUAAAGGCACGCGUUUAAAAAUCAUGUUGCAUGAAAAGGGUUAGAAGGUUUAGGUGUGUUAGCUUUACCUUAUAGAAACAUAGUGUUGUUAGACAGAAUGCAGAGGUUGGGUCAGCUGUGGAGCUGUAUGAUGGCAGCUCUUAGGCACAGCUCACCCACAGCCUACUUCCCUCCCCACCUCGAGGCAGGAUUGUGCUAUGAUGGAGGACAAGCGAAAUACAAAGGAGGAGAGAGUCCUUUAUGUCCUCUCUUUUUGCUUUUAGCUAGUUUCAGGUCAGCUGGGCUGGUUUGAGUAGUGGAGGUGGGCUUUGGAGACAAGGAGCUGAGGGGUGGGGGUCGUUAAUGUGCUUCCUCCAACCCCCUAUCUCUGUAGUGUCCUUUCCUUUUAACCCUUCUUUCCUUGCUCACUCAACCCAUGCCUGAUGCUCAGACUUGCGUGGACCAGUGCAUGGCUGGUUUGGGCUGGUCGGACUGGGAGAACAGAGAUGGUGUAGGGAGAGAUGGGACUUAUCAUGCUCUUUACCGCUGGCCCUCAGGGAAGGGGAGGUGGAGGAUGGAGGAUGUGGAGGUGGUGGUGGGGGUAUGUUAUGCCUUGGGCAGCACAGCCCCUGCUGUCACCCGUCACACUGAGCAAAGGGACUCGUCUCCCUCUCUGUUUCUCGUUUCCAGUGAUUCUCUCCAUUCACCUACCACUGUCACUCUCCCUCCUCCUUUCUCUUUCACUCGCUCUCUGCAUGCCUUUCUGAGCCUUUUGAGUAGUGCCUGUAGACACACAUUAACAUGCUGCAUGUCACCCUGUGGAAAUCCAGCUUGCCAUUUAUCUAUCUAUUUAAAGGAAACACGGUUCAAUCUUUUAAUAGCUGAACGUGGCAUUUACUGAUGCAUAUUUAUUCGACGUUGGCUCAGUUUAAACAACUGGGUAAUUUUAGGCACAAGGUAGUCGCCCCUGAUGUGAGGUGGCCCGGAGCAAAACACCGAUGCUAAAUUGGUUCGCAAUCCAAAUGUCGGCCAUUUCCCUGAUCGUUACCCAGGGUUAUCAGCUCCGAGAUCCAUUUUGUCAGCAGUUCCGAGCGCAGGCAAUAUCCCCACAUAAAAGCACAAUAAGGAGAUAUAGAUGCUUUUAUAUUUCUAUGAAUGUAUCAUUACUAAAGAUGUAUUUUUUUACCUCAAAGAAUGCAAGAGUGUGGGAUAGCAGUAAAUGAUGCCAUUGUAUAUGAGGUCAUGGCAGUGCUGUCUGCUGGUGCCAGCCAAUGCAAACUUAAACCAGGAAAAAAAGGUCCUAACUGUCAUCCCAACAGAUCUACUGUUCUCUUUGGAAUUCACGUAGGUUUGAAUCCGCUUCUCUGCAAAUGGAAUGUACUGUAAUCAAACAUCUUUUUCCCAUAACAUUUUGAUAUUUAUUAGAUACAAAAAAAAACAACUGUUAUGCUAAUAAAUGACAAAUAUGACUGUUAUGUCCCGGCUUUUCUUUUGUUGUCUAUUGUUCACAGAGACAUUCAUUAAUGAUGAGAGGAGGUUAUCAGAGGUCACAUCCAGGAAAUCAACCUUCUCUCUUUUCCAAAACACAAAGCCUAUACAGUAUUCCUUGCAACCCACAUGUUCAAUACAGACUUAAU